GGGGGGCUUCCCAGGUGGCUCAGCAGUAAAGAGUCUGCCUGCAAUGCAGGAGGCUCACGAGGCUCAGUGGUUCGAUCCUGGGUUGGGAAGAUCCCCUGGAGGAGGGCAUGGCAACCCACUCCAAUAUUCUUGCCUGGAGAAUCCCAUGGACAGAGGAGCCUGACGGGCUACAGUCC